GGUUGUUUUUUUUCUUUUUC
rnacentral:miRNA from 1 species